rnacentral:lncRNA from 1 species
CUCCAUCUCCGAUCGGCGACCCGCCCUGAGCCGGCGGAGCCGCUCGACGUUAGGGCCCCACCUCACCAGGCGACGGCGUGGGCAUCCUCGAUUCUCAGGGGUGUGGCGGCGUCGGCGGCGGCGCAACGGUGGGCGCCGUCCAUCCCUCCCAGCCGGCUCGGCCUGGUGACCGAUAUGCAUCCUGGUUGGUCACAAGGUGUUAUGCUCACGCCUCGAUAUGGUUCUUGCGUAGCCACAGAAAGGAGUAGCUACUAUGUGCUUACUCCAGCCACUGGAGUUGUAUACAACUUGCCUGUGAAUCCAGCAGAGGAGCAUGUGUACCAUGUCCAGUUGAUCACCUGCACAGACCUUACCCUCAUUUGCAUUUGGGCAUGUUGCUUCCAUGGGAGAGUACAAGGUGAUCCAUAUUUACAGACCUAG